CGUACUGGUCAGCACUUUGGUUUGUGUGUGACUGAGUUUGCGGCUGGCGCUGAUGGACAGUUUUGUAAGAGACAAGUUAAAUGAAUGGCAGCUUGACAGCCUGGUAGACACCUUUAAAGCUGCUAAAACUGAGAGAGCGCUAAAGGUCUUGCCAACUCUCUUCCCGCCAUCCAUCUUCAAGACAGCAGGAAAAAUCUUCAGACCCACCACUGAGGAGUCCCAGAAGUCAUUAUUGAAACGCUACUUGUGGGGACCAACAUGAUUGAGUACAUAGAAAACGCAGAGGCCAAUCAACCGUUUCCACACAUUUUGUGCUUGGGGGAUGAGACGACGACGUGCCAAGCCUUCACCAUUAUUUCAGGCCACGCCAUUGAAACGGAGUCUUUGCUUGGAGCUGUGGACCUGUGUUUCAAGAAUUUUUUUGUCUUUGACAUUAAUUACACCAAGCAGUGCCUCCCCACCUGGGAGUUUCUGCAGCACGGCGUGUACCGUAUUGAUGGACAUGAGUCCUCAUCUGUUAAGUUUUUGAGGACAACAGUUUGUUCAGGCCGCAUUUAGGGUGUGUGUAAAGUUUUUUUGUAAUGUGUUUAAAGAGGUUAUUUUAAAGGGUUAUUUAAAAGUUAUUUUUAAUAUAGUUAUGUGCUGUGUGUUGUGCAAUAAUGCACUGUUGAUGUGAUGUUUUUUUUUUUUUUUUUGUUUUUUAAGAAGCUGUUCUAUAAACUGGUGUUUUUAUCUACGUGGGGUGGGGAGGGGGUAUUGUAUUCAUGCAUGGUUCAUUUUGGCAAAAACAAAAAAAGUUAAAAUCAUUAAAUACACAUUUACAGUGGCCUCUUUUUGUAUAGUGUGUGUUUAAGAUUAUGGGAAA